rnacentral:rRNA from 1 species
UACGAAGGGGGCUAGCGUUGUUCGGAUUUACUGGGCGUAAAGCGCACGUAGGCGGAUCGUUAAGUCGGGGGUGAAAUCCUGGAGCUCAACUCCAGAACUGCCUUCGAUACUGGCGAUCUCGAGUCCGGAAGAGGUGAGUGGAACUCCUAGUGUAGAGGUGGAAUUCGUAGAUAUUAGGAAGAACACCAGUGGCGAAGGCGGCUCACUGGUCCGGUACUGACGCUGAGGUGCGAAAGCUGGGAGGCAAACAGGG